ACGUGGGUUCCUUACACCCCAGAGCAUCUAGCAGAGGGAUUUGAUGAGAGUUUCCCGACAAGACCUAAGUAUGCCUUGUCUACCCAUAGGAUUCCCUUGUUGACUGAUUGUGGUUGGGAGCUCUAUUUGGGAGAUCGGGCUUUCCGAUGUAUCACAUGGGAGAUCCGUAUCCCCUUCGGGUGAUCUAGACAUGGAUGGCUUUGCUGAAGGAGAUUCGUCCUUGUGCCAUCUGGAUAUACCCUUUGGUGGAGACAUGAUGCUUAGGAGGAGCUGGCGCAGGUUGUUCAGUUUGAUGAUAGUACUUUCAUAAAUGGUAUAGAUUUUCUUAUAUAAGCGAUUGCUAAUUGUUGGACGUUUGUGCCCUAUUUACAUGUACUUUUUACUUUUAUUUGUAGUACAAAGAUGAUAUUGAUGUAUACAAUUUUAUUUAUUUUGUGGAGAUUUAUAUAUAAUGUUUUUCAUUUGUUGUAUAUGUUAUAUUUUCAUCCAUCAUGAUGCAUGCAUUAUAUGUCAUGGAUUUGCAUUUAUAAAUUGUUAGUUAGAAUUGACCCCUGUAUGGUCUUGUGAUACUAUUGUACAGAUGGCCGAGCAUACGCCACCUACGCGGAUAGCCUCUUGCUUGAGGUCUUGGUAUGAGAGCUUGCCGACUUCGGACCGCAUUUUAGUAAAUCGCAUGAUGGGCCAUUCGAUAUCUUACCAGUCUUUUCAGGUCCCUGAUGGCUUCGUGGAGGGUAUGCUGGCUUAUUGGAUUCCUAAGAGAUAUGUGUUCCGGUUUGAAUCAGAGGAGAUGACCCCCACCUUGGAGGAGUAUCAGCGUAUUUCUAGUUUACCCCUUGAUGGGCCUUGUGCGAGAGUAGCGGAUGGUCAAAUGCACUGCCAGUUUAUGACUCUGACCGAUUUGUGAUGGUCGAUCGUCUUGGGAUGGAUCAGAUCCGGACACGUUGUAUCCUUAGAAUUCCUAAUUGACCAUUUUGGGUCUACUAACAGCUUUAUAGUGUAUCGGGGAGACUUUGCCAUUUCAGAGGAGCGAUCAAGGUACGCUCGUGUAGACACUUUGCUGAUGUGUAUCGCAACAUUUUUGUGCAUACCUUUUUACAUGGAUCACCUUGACAUUGGAUUGGUGAUGGUGGUCAGAUAUUUGCGAGAGGAUCACACCAUUCUCCACAUGAUCUUGCAAGGACUUAUAACUCGGCUUCUCAUUGUCAUGCCUAUAGUGAUGUAUAUUUUUAGGGUAGCUCUGUGAUAUUGUAUGUAUGGUUUAUGAUGCAUCUAAGGCCGAUAGGCACCGUGCAUCGCCAUGGAUACUGCUUCGGGCAUGACAUAACGAUGUCUUAUUCUUUUCGACCGAAUGUUUGCGUGUAUGCAUUGUAUUGGUUUACUUUUGUUUCCGAUAUUGAGGAGUCAUUUUCUGUUUUGGUGUAUUCAGGAUAUUGUUCUCCCUUGAGCUUCAUCACCCACGUUGUUGGCAUGGAUUUCCUUCUGAUAGUCGGUUUGCGAGUUGUGACCACAUAUCACCCGCUGGCUGUCAUGGGCCAGUUUAAUCAGUAUCAGGAUUUUUAGUCUUUCGAGGGCGCUUUGUGUGACGCCCCCAAAAUAGGUCCAAUCCAUCCAACCUAUUCUGAGUCGCCAAAUACAUGGUACAAAAAAUAACUACAAUUGUCGUGCAAAAUACAACAACACAUAUGCUGUGAGUUUUGAUAUAAAUAUAUACUAACUGUGACUCAUGUCCCAAUCGUGGACAAUACCUUACAGUGAUACCUUACAUAAAGGUACAGUCAAUAACUGUUUUAAAAAUUAAAAUCUUUGGGAA
rnacentral:lncRNA from 1 species